CCGUGGGUUGUCGGCAGUCUGCCCGAGCUGCUAUCGCGGCGAGGGCGGGCAGUCGCGUGCCGAUUGGGCUACGGACGUAGAAUGUCCUCUCGCGGGGGAUUUUCCCUAAGUGGCGAACAAUCGACUCAGAAUUGGUAUGGACAAGGGGAAUCCGACUGUUUAAUUAAAACAAAGCAUUGCAAUGGUCCCUGCGGAUGCUGACGCAAUGUGAUUUUUGCCCAGUGCUCUGAAUGUCAAAGUGAAGAAAUUCAACCAAGCGCGGGUAAACGACGGGAGUAACUAUGACUCUCUUAAGGUAGCCAAAUGCCUCGUCAUCUAAUUAGUGACGCGCAUGAAUGGAUUAACGAGAUUCCCACUGUCCCUAUAUACUAUCUAGCGAAACCACAACCAAGGGAACGGGCUUGGCAGAAUCAGCAGGGAAAGAAGACCCUGUUGAGCUUGACUCUAGUCUGACUUUGUGAAAUGACUUGAGAGGUGUAGAAUAAGUGGGAGCCAUUUUCGGCACAAGUGAAAUACCUAACGUUAUUUUACUUAUUCCAUGGGGUGGAGACAGGGCAUUGCCCCUGUUUUUGGCCUUAAGACAUGUUUCGAUGGGUCGAUCCGGGCGGAAGACAUUGUCAGGUGGGGAGUUUGGCUAGGGCAGCACAUCUGUUAAAAGAUAACACAGGUGUCCUAAGAUGAGCUCAAUGAAAACAGAAAUCUCGUGUGGAACAAAAGGGUAAAAUCUCAUUUGAUUUUGAUUUUCAGUACGAAUACAAACCGUGAAAGCGUGGCCUAUCGAUCCUUUAGACUUUCAAAAUUUGAAGCUAGAGGUGUCAGAAAAGUUACCACAGGGAUAACUAGCUUGUGGCAGCCAAGCGUUCAUAGCGAUGUUGCUUUUUGAUCCUUCGAUGUCGGCUCUUCCUAUCAUUGUGAAGCAGAAUUCACCAAGUGUUGGAUUGUUCACCCACCAAUAGGGAACGUGAGUUGGGUUUAGACCAUCGUGAGACAAGUUAGUUUUACCCUACCGAUGAACUGCACUGCAAUAGUAAUUCAACUUAGUACGAGAGGAACCGUUGAUUCACACAAUUGGUCAUCGCGCUUGGUUGAAAAUCCAGUGGCACGAAGCUACCGUGUGUCGAAUUAUGACUAAACGCCUCUAAGUCAGAAUCCACACUAGAAGCGAUGCUUGUCACUCCUCGACUGUAUCUUGACCCACAGUAGGGGUGUCGCUUCGGCACCCCCAAGGGCCCGUGUCACUUGCGAACCUCGGCCAGGAAGCGUCUCGGUCGGGGCAGCUUUGAAGUUCAAUUUGAAACGGUCGUUGAGAAGAAUCCUUUGCAGAUGACUUAAAUAUGUGACGGGGUAUUGUCAGUGGUAGAGUGGCCUUGCUGCCACGAUCCACUGAGAUUCAGCCCUUCUUCGCCUUGAUUCAG
rfam:Picea glauca, whole genome shotgun sequence.